UACGUAGGGUGCAAGCGUUGUCCGGAAUUAUUGGGCGUAAAGAGCUCGUAGGCGGUCUGUCGCGUCGGCUGUGAAAACCCGAGGCUCAACCUCGGGCCUGCAGUCGAUACGGGCAAACUAGAGUACUGCAGGGGAGACUGGAAUUCCUGGUGUAGCGGUGGAAUGCGCAGAUAUCAGGAGGAACACCGGUGGCGAAGGCGGGUCUCUGGGCAGUAACUGACGCUGAGGAGCGAAAGCGUGGGGAGCGAGCAGG
rnacentral:rRNA from 1 species